rnacentral:rRNA from 1 species
GACGAACGCUGGCGGCGCGCUUAACACAUGCAAGUCGAGCGAAGCGGCGGACGGGUGAGUAACACGUGAGUAACCUGCCUUAGCCAUUGGGAUAGCCUCGGGAAACCGGGAUUAAUACCAAAUGGUCUAAGAUGGUCUCGCGUCCCAUUAGCUAGUUGGUGGGUAACGGCCCAACAAGGCGACGAUGGGUAGCCGGCCUGAGUAGGUGAACGGACACAUUGGAACUGGGAGACGGUCCAAACUCUACGGGAGGCAGCAGGUGGGAAUAUUGCACAAUGGAGGGAACUCUGAUGCAGCUACGCCGCGUGAACGAAGAAGUCUUUCGAGACGUAAAGUUCUUUUAUAUGGGAAGCGGUACCAUAAGAAAAAGCCCCGGCUAACUACGUGCCAGCAGCCGCGGUAAUUC